AGUGAACGCUGGCGGUAGGCCUAACACAUGCAAGUCGAACGGCAGCACGGGAGGGCUUCCCCUCUGGUUGGCGCGUGGCGGGCGUGAGAGACAUACAUCUAACUCUGCUCAGUCGCGGGGGAUAACUCAGGAAAACUUACGCAAAUACCGCAUACGACCUUCGCGGCAUAGAUGGGGAGCGCAAGACGUCUCGCGUUUCACUUAGCCGAUGUCGUAUUAGCUAGUUGGCGGGGUAAUGGCUCACCAAGGCGACGAUCCGUAGCUGGUCUGAGAGGAUGAUCGGCCACACUGGAACUGAGACACGGUCCAGACUCCUACGGGAGGCAGCAGUAGGGAAUAUUGCACAAUGGGCGCAAGCCUGAUCCAGCCAUGCCGCGUGAGUGAAGAAGGCCUUCGGAUUGUAAAGCCCUGUUGUUAGGGAAGAACACAUUCAGAAGAAUACCCUGACAGGUUGACGGUACCUAAAGAGAAAGCACCGGCUAACUUCGUG
rnacentral:rRNA from 1 species